UCUGGCCACAUCACGUUGAAAAAACCGGUUCUCGUACGAUCACAUGAAUUAAACAACGUCGAGCCUGGUCAGUACUUCGAUGGGUGACCACUUGGGAAUACCAGAUGCAGUAA